ACGCCCGUGAUGUGGACACCUUCUCAACAAGUCUUUAAAUCUCUCCCAAGCUUCAUAUAAAGUUUCCAUAUCGGCUUAGUUGAAAGUUGUGAUGUCAUUCCUCAUCUU